rnacentral:rRNA from 1 species
UCGGAUUGCAGGCUGCAACCCGCCUGCAUGAAGUUGGAAUCGCUAGUAAUCGCGGAUCAGCAUGCCGCGGUGAAUACGUUCCCGGGCCUUGUACACACCGCCCGUCACACCAUGAGAGUCGGGAACACCCGAAGUCCGUAGCCUAACAGCAAUGGGGGCGCGGCCGAAGGUGGGUUCGAUAAUUGGGGUGAAGUCGUAACAAGGUACC